rnacentral:lncRNA from 1 species
GUGCCCAAAGUACUUCCUCUUGCCCCAGAGCCGUCUGUGACUUCCUUAUUCUUAUUGCUAAAUUUGAGAACAUAUGCAAAUCACUAAUUAUGUACCCUAAUGCUCCAGGCGGGUAUACAGCCCACCUUUACAACCAAAUGCAUUGUUAUUUUGCAAAGCAGCAAGCUUGGAUUAUCCUCCCCCUAGGUCUGCUCUUCACAGAGGAGGCUACCUGGUCUGUUCUCUGCCCCUGGGACCAUGUCUGCAUUAGCCAGCGUUUCCUGUGGCAACAACCUCCACCUGCUCCUGCCAAAUCUCAAUGCCCUACAGCAGCAAGCAUUUAUUUCCUGCUUGAAUUGUGAGAGGGUGGCUGGUCAGCAGUAGUUGUCCUUGGUUCUUCUGGGCUCUGCUAGGUUUGGCUCAGCUCCACUGAUCUGCUGUUAUUCCAGGACCCCAGCUGAAGGAGAAACUCUCAUCUGCAGCAUGCUGUUCUCAUGGCAGGGACAGAAAGAAGCUCAGGAGAGAAAGAGCUAAACUAGCACAUUGAAAGGUUCUGCUCAGAUGUGUAAGUCCUGUCUUACUGCACAAGAGCAAAGCAAGUCACGUGCUUGAGUCUGACGUCCAAGGGCAGGAAGUAGGGCUGCUCACAGGAAGGGGGAAGAGACAAUUAUGAGCAAAGAAUAGAAACUACUACUAUGUCCAAACCAUCCGAGACAGGAGUGAGCUUUUUGCUAGGACUGUUCUCAUCUUACUCUUUAAUUCUUACCUGAAAUCACAAAAGGAUGGGCAAGUUUGGAGUCAGCUAGACCUGGGCUGCAAUCUUACUAUCCAUGUGACUGUGGGCCAGGGAGUUGACUCCUAUGAACCUCAGUUCCUGCCUCUGUAAAAUGGAAACAGUAAUAAGUUUUUUCACAUGGUUGAUACGGGGAUCAAAUAGGUGAAUAUGGUGUUAGGCACAUAAUAGGCACUCAGCAACCCAUAGUUACUUGCAUUGUUAAUACAUAAAAGUGAACACAUUAUUUUUCAUAAAAAUAAAUAAUACACAUAAUCCAACCAGCUACUGUUUUUUUCUACUUACACAACUGGGUCAUAUCACUCAGCCAGGCUAUGGGAGGGGACAAUAUGAAUAGCAAUCACCACCAGUUAAAUGGCACUUACUGUGCACGCGGUACUAUUGAGGACUUGAUGUAUUUUAACUCAUUUCAUUUUUACAUGUCUACAAAUGGAAUCAUUUCUUCAUAGCUGUGAAUUUGCAUCCAUAGAUUCAACCAGCUGCAGAUCAAAAGUAUCUGGAGAAAAAUUGCAACUGAACGGAACAUGAACAGACUUUCCCCUGUCACUCCCUAAAAAGUACAGUGUAACAGCUAUUUAAACAGCAUUUACAACGGUUAGGUUUCAUAAGUAGUCUAGAAAUGAUUUCGAGUAUACAGGAGGAUGUGAAUAGGUCAUAUGCAAAUGUUGCACCAUUUGAUAUAAGGGACUUGGGACUUCAGUAUCUGGCUUCACAGGGUACGGAGAGACUACUAUAAUGCCAGUGUUAGCAAUACCACUAUUAGUUUCAUUUUGCAGGGGAUGGGACAGUUCAGAGAGACACAGAAGGAAGUCAGAUGACUUAUUCGUGGUCAUAGAGCUUCCUAGUAGCAGAGCGAAGACUUGAACCCAGGCGUUUAGCAGGAGGCCUGUGCUCUUAAGCACUGUGCUAUGCUGCCCGUUUGCCCAGGCAGACAGUGGGUCUACUGUGCUACUGUGGCCAUGACAUCUGCAGAAAGGGGAGAGCUGACAUGUAAGCCUCGCUUGUUGGGCUGAAAGGAAGCUGAGAGUGGUCUGAGUUCGAUAUCUAUUUGAACAUAAAGUAGACACUGGAAGCAAGAGACUCUGUGCCUCCUAGAAUCUGUGAGGCAUGGAUCCCAGCUGGGAGGCACGGUAGGUUUCCUGGAGUCAGGGGAGAUCUCUCUUUUCUCCCAUUCAGCCUGGGCCUUUCUCUGAAGCUGCAGCCACUGCCCUGUGGAAGGCCCUAUGGCUACUCUAUCCACCUCGCGCACGAGGCAGGAGGGCACAAGCUUCUCUGGGAAGUAUCCUCGCUGCCCUUUCUCAAGGAAGGCAAGAACACUGUCACCCCAGCAGACUUCUGGUGGCUUCAACGUCUGCAGAAAGGGGAGAGCUGAUGUCACUACAGGUGACACCACCACCAUCAGGGGAGGUUGCCCAUCGCCUUCUCCUGUUAGGCCACGAGCUGACCUCCAGCUCGCAGCCUGGCCACUGAGGAGGGGACGGCAGCUCACGCCCGCCUGGCUCUGGGCCCUCACAUUAGGCUAGUCGGCUGCUGUUGUCUGGAAGUGGAGUGUGGCCCCCAAGGUUCUUGCAUUGAACCUGAUUCCCCACUGUGAGGUAUCAAGAAGGGAGAAACUGAAUCUGACUGUGGUGUUUAGAGCCGGGGUCUCUGGGAGGAAAUUAGGACUAGAUAAGGUCAUCAGGAGGAAAGAUUUAUUUUGGCUCAUGAUUUCAGAUGUCUCAGUCCAUGGUCGGCAGACUCCAUUGCUGUGGGCCUGAAGUAAAGCAGAAUAUCAUGACAGAAGGGCAUUGCAAAGCUGCUGGGUUCAUGGAAGCCAGGAAGGAGGGAGAGAUGGG